CCUACGGGAGGCAGCAGUGGGGAAUAUUGGACAAUGGGGGGAACCCUGAUCCAGCCAUGCCGCGUGUGUGAAGAAGGCCCUCGGGUUGUAAAGCACUUUCAGUGAGGAAGAACGCCUGGUGGUUAAUACCCAUCAGGAAAGACAUCACUCACAGAAGAAGCACCGGCUAACUCCGUGCCAGCAGCCGCGGUAAUACGGAGGGUGCGAGCGUUAAUCGGAAUUACUGGGCGUAAAGCGCGCGUAGGUGGCUUGAUAAGCCGGUUGUGAAAGCCCCGGGCUCAACCUGGGAACGGCAUCCGGACCUGUCAAGCUAGAGUGCAGGAGAGGAAGGUAGAAUUCCCGGUGUAGCGGUGAAAUGCGUAGAGAUCGGGAGGAAUACCAGUGGCGAAGGCGGCCUUCUGGACUGACACUGACACUGAGGUGCGAAAGCGUGGGUAGCAAACAGGAUUAGAUACCCGAGUAGUC
rnacentral:rRNA from 1 species